rnacentral:rRNA from 1 species
UACGGGGGGGGCAAGCGUUGUUCGGAAUUACUGGGCGUAAAGGGCUCGUAGGCGGCCAACUAAGUCGGAUGUGAAAUCCCCAGGCUCAACUUGGGAAUUGCAUCCGAUACUGGAUGGCUUGAAUUCGGGAGAGGGAUGCAGAAUUCCAGGUGUAGCGGUGAAAUGCGUAGAUAUCUGGAGGAAUACCGGUGGCGAAGGCGGCAUCCUGGACCGACAUUGACGCUGAGGAGCGAAAGCUAGGGGAGCAAACGGG